rnacentral:rRNA from 1 species
GACAGAGGUCCCGAGCGUUAGGCGGAAUCACUGGGCUUAAAGCGUGUGUAGGCGGAUUGGUAAGUACCUUGUGAAAUCCCACGGCUUAACCGUGGAACUGCUUGGUAUACUGCUUAUCUUGGGCCACUUAGGGGCUACCGGAACAAACGGUGGAGCGGUGAAAUGCGUAGAUAUCAUUUGGAACGCCAAUGGUGAAAACAGGUAGCUGGGGCUGUGCUGACACUGAGACACGAAAGCCAGGGGAGCAAACGGG